AGGGCUAUAGCUCAGUUAGGUAGAGCACCUCGUUUACAUCUACGGUUCGAGUCCGUAUAGCCCUA
rnacentral:tRNA from 2 species